rnacentral:ncRNA from 1 species
GAAUUCGAGAGAGAGCAGAAAACAUGCCGCCGAAGGGGAAUGCGAAAACUCUCAGGCAAAAGGAUCGGA